AAGGUUGCCUUUUGGUUUUCUAGGAAAGAGCUCAUGAUCAGUGCCCUAGAUAUGAAGACUACAGAGUUUCGGGGACCACACCCCCAGGAUCCAUUCUGUACUCCCCAACACUGGGCAGGGGGUGAGUGUGAGGGGUGGGAUGGCAAUGUUGACCCCACAUGCUGGACCUCUCACACACAAAGUCCAGAGCUAUCCGGAUGCCUGGGGUUGGCUGGUAAUAGAGGGUUAAUUGGCCGGCCAGAGCAAGUGACAGCCUCGUGUGAAUUGCUUUUGUAGGGCCAGUAAGGCCAGAGGCCAGAGCUUCCUGUCACACUGGCCUGCAGGCCAGGCUCCCCAUUUCACAGGAGCCAGUCUCUCAUGUGUGAUCUGGCCCCACCCCAUCUUCACAGGCAGCUGUACUUGGAAGCGAAUGAUUUAGUGUUCCUGAGAGAGGAUUGUACAAAGAGAGCACUCAUUAGAGGGGGCUCAAUCUGUCAGGUGCUGUUAUAUUAGGAUCACAGAGUCAUCAUAAAAUUACUUUCAUGCUGGUCUUGGCUGAUAACUCACUGUGUGGCAUCACCAUUGUAUUGUGGAGGCUCGGGAGCUGAUUUAUGCAUCAGUUUAAUUAUCUGAACUGAAAGACUCUGCUCCCUGUAUUCACAUCUACUGCCUGCAUGCUUUCUCUCUCCCCCAUAUUUCUGACAUUUGGAUUUUCCCCCUACUAAUUGACAUGCCUGCCGCCUCCUUCUCCUGGUGUCCAUUUCUGGAACUGCUAUUUGUAUAUUGCAUGAUAUUUUAUCGGGGGAAAAAAUAAAACUGAGAUCCAAUUUCACGAAAAUGCUGUUUGCCAUAAUGCUCAGGAGGACGGGGGGAAGAGAAAGAGUCAAGUUUUCCUACUGUCUACCCCAUGUGCAGGUACAUUUUACAAGUUCUAUUGUAUUCUGACUUAUUAAGCAGUGCAUAUAUAUUUUUUCUUUUACAUUAGCUCAUUGCAGAAGGGGGUGGGGAGGAUGAACUGGCUGGAAGCUGACAUGGGAUUACUUUUUAUCAGAGCUGUCGGUUUCAGAAAUAUAUUAUAGCCCUCAGAUGUCUCAGGGAUGAAAAAUAAAAUAAAUAACAGGACAACUUAGUCUAUUCCCUUUCUGUCUCUAUUACCUGAGAGAAAUUGCUGUACUUGAGCAUCGCUGAAAGGAUACCCCAAUCUGCAAAUCUCUGCACAUAACAAUUUGGAAAUGGAAGAAGGCUGCCUACAGUUGGGGCAUUUAGGAUCAAUUUUGAAUCAGUUUUAGGUGUGAUUUAAAUAGCCGGUGCUAUAAAAUCAAGAAAUGGAAGAAGCCUCCCCAUAAUGCUCCAUAAGCAGCAACUAAUGCCUUCCUGGGUGAAAGCCGAACAUACGAAAAACAGAAAAUGAAAGACAGAGUCUGAAGGACCCUCAUGUUUCCAAGACUAAUGCUCAGAUCACUUUGUCCUCCAUCACUGUCUUUGGGCCCAACCUUCUUUGACCAAUGAAACUUUCCUUGAUCGCUCAACAUUAAGUGGCGCCUAACUUGGGAGCAACUUCUUCUCCAUUAUAUUUUUCACCACCUGAGAUAUGUAUUUCCUGGAUUUUACCAGAAAUCCUUUUGCUCAAGCCUCCCAAGGUUCCCACGGGCCAGUGCUGAGAUUGAGCACCUUAGUUGCACAACUCCAAGGGGACUGAGACCUCGGAACGCUCCUUGGACACCUUCCCAGGUCCUUAUCAUUAUGAGAGGAUGUGAUACUGGGAACAGCCAUCUUGUGACCCUGAGAAAGGAAAAGUCAAGAUUACUCCAGGAUAGCUGACCUCAUUGAACUAUUUGGACUUCAGCGGAAUUACCCAACACCCAGACUUCCUGUUAGAAACCUACAAGAUUCUUCCCACUUUAUUGAAAACCCUUCUGAGAUGGGAAUGGAAAAUGGAAGCUGAGGACCAGUUUCGUCCACUGGCUCCCAUUGGUGUCUCUGCUCCACCCUGGACCUACUGCAACCUCCAUUCCCCGUGAUCAUCACCAGACUAACCCUGCACCACAUUGCCUUCGUACCUGCUCUACUCACUGUCCCCAUGACCAAGCCGGGACUCCCUCUACUUAACCAGGACCUCAACCCCUCAUUUCAACUGAUUUCCUAACUUGUCUGGACUUCUUGGUUUAUUAUUUCAACCACACUGUCAUCUACACACUCAUUUCCAACAACCCUUUGAUCUUCUCUACGAGCUUUGCAAAUAGUCUGUUCUACAACAGCCGGAUGAUUCAUUCUGACUGGCUCUAGUUUCCAAGCUAUGAGGCAUGGCUGAAGAAAGUCGUGUCGCUUUGCUCACUGGUUAACGACAGAUGCUCACAGCCAGCUUCAGACUUCACCCAUGGUGCUAAAAAUCAGAAGUAUGAAGUUAGACCACAUUACCUCUUUUAGUUACGCCCAUCCUUAUCCUCUGUGCAUGGGUUCUUAGGCUUGGAGCCAACUAAAACUGCAGCAGGCAACUUCUCUGUCACAGAGCUAUACCCCCAGCCCAGUCUCCAGAUUGUUACCCUGAGCAAUUUAGUAAACAAUAAUGUCAUUGACAAAGAAGGGAUAUGCUGGAGGAAGAGAAAAUGUGAUGGGAAUCAAGAGUUCAGGUCCCAUCCAUCAAAGUUGAAAUCGGACAGGGUCUCACUAACUUACUAACUUGCCAGGCUGGUUUCAAAUUUAUGAUCCUCUUGCUCAGCCUCUCAGAGUACUGAGAUGAUACCUGCCAUCCUGCCUGGCUCUGGAAGCUUUUGAAAGAUAAGAUUUAUUCGGGCCAAAUAACUAAUGGAAAAGAUACUAACAGGGAGGGAUCCAGGAGAAGCUCAUGACGUCCAAAAGCUCUACUCUGAAUGUCCACAAGAGGCUUGCACUCUCCAAGGACAAGGUUUGGCAAAUUCAAAGGGAUGAAUGCUCAAGAAGAGCAUCACUUGGAGGGAGAGGAGGGAAAUAAAAAGAAUUAAGAUGGGCAUGUACAUCUGCACCUGUACAGGUACCAACCCUCCAUAAAAAUAAUCAUUGAUUACUGGAACAUUUGGUGACAAUUUUUAAAAAAUGAGCAUCACUUGAGAGGUCCAUGGUGAUGGGCUGAACAAAUAUCCCAACAAAGUAUUGGAAGGGUGUAGUGGUGCCCACUAAACUGGUGACACUCGCCCUCUCCACUGAGCUCCAUAACAUACCUGGUCACUGUAAGGGGAGGUGUUUUAUAGAUCAAACCAUAUAAGCAGUGAUGUCAUCAGCUGGCCUUGGGCCCUAAUAGGACCAGCAUGCCGAGGAACAGCAGGACAGCAAUUUCUACAGAUAACCCUAGUUUUCCCAGUUCUUAAUGUCCUUCAGUUAAUAAUUAUCUGGAUGAUACAGCUAUGGGAAUGGAGGUGAUCACUGAGCCAGCAAGUGUGUCUCUGGGGGGUGGGGAGAAGAGGUCCAAAGACUACAUCCAGGAGUAUCCCAGCUUGUAGAAGUUAGGAAUAUAAAGAAGAAGAGGCAAUGAAGAUGGACAAAGAAUGAUUGGCACGAUAGAAGAAAGAGUGUGGUUCCCUAGAAGCCAGAUUGAGAAACACUUUAUAAACCAUUCUGAAAAAAAUCUAGAAAUGCUGUAGGUAGUUGCAAGAACGAUUUCGGUCUUUUCUGUAUUCCUUUAAUGUUUUGGCUUCAUCUCACACUGGCUGCUUGUUGAAAAUACACGCAAAACAUUUUUUCCCCUGUUUCAAUUCAAUUGUUAUUUUUAGAAGCGUGUUUUCCUUUCCUCUGACUAGUGAAUAUUGCCUUCCUUUUGCGUAAUGCCCCGGUUUUAUGUCUCCCCUUUCCACGUACCAUGAAGUAACAUCAUCAGUACAUUUAACUGGUGUCACCUAA